rnacentral:rRNA from 1 species
GAUGAACGCUGGCGGCGUGCCUAAUACAUGCAAGUAGAACGCUGAAGCUUGGUGCUUGCCCCGAGCGGAUGAGUUGCGAACGGGUGAGUAACGCGUAGGUAACCUGCCUGGUAGCGGGGGAUAACUAUUGGAAACGAUAGCUAAUACCGCAUGACAACAGUUAUUGCAUGAUAACUGUUUAAAAGGGGCAAUUGCUCCACUACCAGAUGGACCUGCGUUGUAUUAGCUAGUUGGUGAGGUAACGGCUCACCAAGGCGACGAUACAUAGCCGACCUGAGAGGGUGAUCGGCCACACUGGGACUGAGACACGGCCCAGACUCCUACGGGAGGCAGCAGGAGGGAAUCUUCGGCAAUGGACGGAAGUCUGACCGAGCAACGCCGCGUGAGUGAAGAAGGUUUUCGGAUCGUAAAGCUCUGUUGUAAGAGAAGAACGAGUGUGAGAGUGGAAAGUUCACACUGUGACGGUAUCUUACCAGAAAGGGACGGCUAACUACGUG